rnacentral:rRNA from 1 species
GCAGCCGCGGUAAUUCCAGCUCUCAUACUGCAUUGAAUUGCUGUUGCGGUUAAAAAGUUCGUAGUUGCAAGUGUACGGAGUGAGAUGGUUUAACUUAUUGUUAAUACUAUUUCUACCGUUAAGAGUUAAUAUGGUUAAUACCCAUAUAACUCAGUUACUUUGAGUAAAUCAGAGUGCUUAGAACAAGCGUAUUGCUUGAAUGGUUGUGCAUGGAAUAACAAUACAAUGCAUUGAUAUUUGUUUUGUUGGUUUUAAUGUCAAUGAAUGAUUAAAAGGAACAAACGGGGGCAAAAGUAUCAUAAGGCGAGAGGUGAAAUUCGUGGACCCUUGUGAGACUGCCUAAAGCGAAAGCAUUUGCCAAGAAUGUUUUCAUUAAUCAAGAACGAAAGUCAGAGGAUCGAAGGCGAUUAGAUACCGCCCUAGUUCUGACCGUAAACUAUGCCAUCUAACGAGUCGGUAUUGGUUAUAAAUUGCCAUUUUGACGAGUUACCCGGAAACGAAAGUCUUUCGGUUCCGGGGGGAGUAUGGUUGCAAAACUGAAACUUAAAGGGAUUGACGGAAAGUCACCACCAGAAAUGGAGCCUGCGGCUUAAUUUGACUCAACACGGGAAAACUCACCCGGUCUAGACACUAAAAUGAAUGACAGACUGAUAUAUCUCUCAAGAUAUAGUGCAAAGUGGUGCAUGGCCGUUCUUAGUUCGUGGAGUAAUCUGUCUGGUUAAUUUCGAUAACGAACGAGACUAGAACAUAGUUAAUUGUGUGUAGUAUUAUUAUUUUAUUACACGGUGAUAAAUGGAUAUGCAAAUUAAAUUGCCUGAAAACUGGCAAUAACAGGUCUGUUAUGCCCUUAGUUGUCCGGGGCCGCACGCGCGCUACAAUGGAAAUUGCAGUGCGUAUAUACUAUAUCGAAAGAUAUGGUUAAACGUGUCAAAUUAUUCCGCAUUCGGGAUCGGAGACUGUAAUUGUUUCCGUGAACGAGGAACUUCAAGUAAGUGUGUGUCAUUAGCGCACGCUGAUUACGUCCCUGUCUUUUGUACACACCGCCCGUCGCUGCCUAGAACUGAGUUGAUUCGAGAAGAUGGGGGAGAGUAGUAUAUGUAGCAAUACAUAUAUUGUUCGAACCCAUUUGAUCGUAUUGGCUUGAACCAGGCAAAAGUCGUAACAAGGUGGCCGUAGGUGAACCUGCGGGCCGGAUCAUUA